rnacentral:rRNA from 1 species
GUCCACGCCGUAAACGAUGAGUACUAGGUGUCGCGGGUAUUGACCCCUGCGGUGCCGCAGCUAACGCAUUAAGUACUCCGCCUGGGAAGUACGGCCGCAAGGCUAAAACUCAAAGGAAUUGACGGGGCCCGCACAAGCGGUGGAGCAUGUGGUUUAAUUCGACGCAACGCGCAGAACCUUACCUGGGCUUGACAUCUGCGGAACCUCUGUGAAAGCAGGGGGUGCCUUCGGGAGCCGCAAGACAGGUGCUGCAUGGCUGUCGU